CAGUAGGGAAUCUUCCACAAUGGGCGAAAGCCUGAUGGAGCAACGCCGCGUGUGUGAUGAAGGGUUUCGGCUCGUAAAACACUGUUGUAAGAGAAGAAUGACAUUGAGAGUAACUGUUCAAUGUGUGACGGUAUCUUACCAGAAAGGAACGGCUAAAUACGUGUCAG
rnacentral:rRNA from 1 species